AUGGACAGGCGUGGAUGGGUGCUGGGGUAUGAAUCACCCCAUGUCGAGGCGGCGGUAGAGAAUUUGAUCGAUUUCAUUGAGAAAACUAAAUAUAGUGUCAUAUAUUAUAAUGGAUGGCAUGGGUUGGCUGCUUCUGUGGUGCUUAGAGCUAUUGUCGAAGACCCUCCGCCGUCUCUGAUGAAGAAUUUCGACAAGAUCAUCCACGUCGAUUGCUCGAGGUGGAAAAGUCGAAGAGCACUACAAAGGAAAAUAGCCGAGGAACUGAAGCUUGCUGAAACUGUAAUGGCUAUUUUUGAUAAGCAAUAUGAAAAAGAUGAUUGGAAGGGUUAG
rnacentral:rRNA from 1 species